rnacentral:rRNA from 1 species
ACUCCUACGGGAGGCAGCAGUGAGGAAUAUUGGUCAAUGGGCGCAAGCCUGAACCAGCCAUGCCGCGUGCAGGAAGACUGCCUUAUGGGUUGUAAACUGCUUUUAUAUGGGAAGAAACCCCUCUACGUGUAGAGCUUGUACGGUACCAUAAGAAUAAGCACCGGCUAACUCCGUGCCAGCAGCCGCGGUAAUACGGAGGGUGCAAGCGUUAUCCGGAAUCAUUGGGUUUAAAGGGUCCGCAGGCGGUCAAUUAAGUCAGAGGUGAAAUCCUAUAGCUUAACUAUAGAACUGCCUUUGAUACUGGUUGACUUGAGUUAUACGGAAGUAGGUAGAAUGUGUAGUGUAGCGGUGAAAUGCAUAGAUAUUACACAGAAUACCGAUUGCGAAGGCAGCCUACUACGUAUAUACUGACGCUCAUGGACGAAAGCGUGGGAGCGAACAGGAUUAGAUACCCUGGUAGGACAGUG